UGGGGAAUAUUGCGCAAUGGGCGGAAGCCUGACGCAGCGACGCCGCGUGGGGGAUGACGGCCUUCGGGUUGUAAACCUCUUUCAGCAGGGACGAAGCCGUGAGGUGACGGUACCUGCAGAAGAAGCACCGGCCAACUACGUGCCAGCAGCCGCGGUAAUACGUAGGGUGCAAGCGUUGUCCGGAAUUAUUGGGCGUAAAGAGCUCGUAGGCGGUUCGUCGCGUCGGCUGUGAAAACCUGAGGCUCAACUUCAGGCCUGCAGUCGAUACGGGCGGACUUGAGUACUGCAGGGGAGACUGGAAUUCCUGGUGUAGCGGUGAAAUGCGCAGAUAUCAGGAGGAACACCGGUGGCGAAGGCGGGUCUCUGGGCAGUAACUGACGCUGAGGAGCGAAAAGCGUGGGGAGCGAACAGGAUUAGAUACCCUGGUAGUCCACGCCGUAAACGUUGGGCGCUAGGUGUGGGGGCCAUUCCACGGUCUCCGUGCCGCAGCUAACGCAUUAAGCGCCCCGCCUGGGGAGUACGGCCGCAAGGCUAAAACUCAAAUGAAUUGACGGGGUCAUAGCUGUUUCCU
rnacentral:rRNA from 1 species